AUGCAUUAUUUAUACCACUAUUUUCCUAUGUAUUAAUAAUAUAAAGAAUUUCUACACAUACAUUAAUUUAGUUAAUGACAAAAUUACCCCUCAAAUUCCUCCUUUCAUUGUACCCUCGCUGUUUCUCUAUAUGAACCUCUCUUCUGUAUCCUUUGCCAUGGAAAAACAAGAGAUAUUUUCUCCACAUCUUUUGCCUUUCACUUGAUCAAGCAUUAUUUGCUUUUCUCAACUUUCGAUUUAUGCCAAUUCAAAACUGCUAGUUGAACGCUUUGUUCACUGCUCGUCGGAAGUCUGGUUUUGCGGUCUGCAGAUGGGUCAUUUUCUUCCCUUAAUUAUGGUCUAUAUAAAGUAUGGAAGAUGGUAGCAACACUGCAAUACUGAUUCUCUACGACGAAAGAUGAGACGUAUCAGGUAUUAUCUUAAUUGCACAUUCGAUGAAUGUUCGUGGUGUCUAAAAGCUUCAAGUAUGAAUGAAAGAGAGAUUUUCAAGAUUCAAGAAUUUUGCGGUAAACAUUCCUGUACGUUGAAGGACAGUAUCUAUUUAGAACGUCAAGUAACUACCAACGUGAUUGAAAGUAUGUUGAUAGAACGGCUUGCUGAUUCAAAAAUCAUGUACACACCAAGGGAUAUAAUAGUUGAAAUGAAAUUAUCACAUGGUAUUUCCUUGACAUACAUGCAAGCUUGGAAGGGCAAGAAAAAGGCAACCACUAUAUUGCGAGGUGACCCUGCAGAAUCAUAUGGUGAAAUACCACCAUAUUUAUAUAUUUUAGAAACGACGUAUUCAGGUACGACUGUUAGAUUAAAAAAAAUAGGCGAAGAUCUUUUUGUGUAUGUGUUUUUUGCACUAGAUUCUUGUAUAAGAGGAUGAGAGUAUUGUAGACCUAUAGUGGUGAUUGACAGCACAGAUCUGAGAUCAAUUUAUGAGGGUACUAUGCUAACAACAACUACAUUGGAUGCAGGAGGUAUGAUCACUUUUUCUUAAUAUUUUUUUACUAACAAAAUUCACAAAUAUGAAGUGUAAAUUGCUUAUUUGACAUCCUAUAAAUCUGUUAUGACAAGAGUUAAACAUUGCUGUAUGAAAAAAUUUGUAAGGAUGAUCUCAUUAUAAAUUCUGUGAGUAUGAUAUAGAAACUGAAGUACCAAAAUGUUAUUAAAAAUUCAUAGUAUAUAUCAUGAAUUAAUUAUUUUGUUUUAUGAAUUAUAUAAAAUUUCUGUAUGUUUAUAGGUCACAUAUUACCGCUAGCAUAUGCUAUAGUUGAUUCAGAGAAUGAUGCCUUGUGGAGUUGGUUUUUUGAGUAUUUUAGAAUUGCUUAUGGAGAAAGAGAGAAUAUAUGCUUUGUUUCAGAUCGAAAUCAGAGUAUAUGGAAUGUUACUGCCGCGAUGUAUCCUGGGGUUACUCACUAUGCUUGUAUUUAUCAUUUAUUGAAUAAUUUACAAACUAAUACCACAACUUCAGAAGAGGUGAGUAAAUUAUUCUUCAGUAUGGCUAAGGCAUACACAUUUCAAGAGUUUAAAGAAUUAAUGAGCAGGAUGGACCAAAUAAGCAAAAAGGCGCGAAAAUAUUUAUUUAAUGUUAGGUGUCAUAAAUGGUCUCGAGCACAUGCAACCGUUAGAAGGACAUGGACUUUGACUUCUAGCAUUGCAGAAUCUUUUAACAAUACAUUAAAGCAAGCAAGAAAAAUACCGGUGGUUUCAUUGCUGGAGUUUGUUAGGGAAAUUAUUGAAACACGAAAUGAAAAACAUAGUGAAGAAGAAAGAAAUAUUUUCACAGUUCUUACCAAAAAAUACAAUGAUAUGUUGGUGGAAAUUCGACUUUUAUUAAAAUUCAUGACUGUAAGUAUGGAUACAAUUUAAAUGUAAAAAUGUUAAUUUUAAGAAUUAACAGGUGUAGAAAUUUAUUUCUUGUAACGUCUUUAUUAAUGCAGGUAAGAGCAUCCACAGAAUACCUACAUACUAUUACUAAUGGAUCGAAGUGAUUCACAGUGUAUCUUCGAAAUCGAAAGUGUAGUUGUGAAAGAUUUUAACUUGAUGAAUUACCUUGUGGACAUGUUAUAGCGUCUAUUCAGUACAGAAACCAACUUUUAGAGGACUAUUCUUCAGCCUACUACAACAAAAGAAUUUUUCAGGAUACAUAUGCAAUUCUUGUUGAACCACUUCCUUGCAAAAGUAAAUGGGAAAUACCAACACAUGUGUUGGAAGAUAGAAUAUUGCCUCCAGAUGCAAAGAGACAAUCAGGCAGGCCACCAAGUUAUAACAGGAAGAAAGCAUUUAAUGAGUUCAAGUUCAAGAGGUCUAAAGUGACUUGUAGCAAAUGUGGUACAGAGGGUCAUAAUAAGAAAACAUACAGGAACUUUCCGCCAAGAAAAUGAUGUUCACUUGUUGAUAUUAUUCAUUUUGAAUGUCUUUUGGUUUAGUUUAUUUUCAAUGAUUGAUGAUAUCAGAAUACUAGAAAGCUAUUCUAAUAUUUUAUUUUAUUUUAUUUUAUUUUAUUUA